rnacentral:sRNA from 1 species
UCCCGGCCGCGGCCGAUGGAAAGUUGGCCUGCGUGUCUCGCCGGGGCCGUAGGAAUUUAAACGGGGAUAUAAGUAUAAGAACGCGGAGACGGGGAAUCGUUCGCGGUAGUGUGAGGCACAAACGCGCCACGGCACCACACCCAGUGUGCCCACCAUUGCGACGAGGGACAACACGGCCAUGCGCGUCGCACUGAUCUUCUUGGCGUGCGUCGCCGCACUCUGUUCGGCGCAGUUCCAAGACGGGCAAAAGGGAUCGCUCCCGCUGCGGACGACACGUUACCAGAGAUUACCGCCACCCCCGCGACCAGGCGGUGGGCCCUCCGUCUUCCCGAAUCAACGGAUCCGUCGACCGAUCACUUUCAGACCUCGGGGACCCGGGGACGAUGCAGGACCCGGUGGAUUCCGGCCGUUGCGGCCAAACUUCCCCGUGGGCGGACCUCCGUUCACGCACCAGGUGAAGCCGGUGAACGAGGACACCGAGGAGGAUGACGUGCGCGAUUCUACCCGCGAGCGCGACGACGAUGAUUCCCGCGAGCAAAGCCAGGAGCCGGAGAGCGAGGAGGAGCUGAGCGAGGAGAAUAUCCCGCGUGCGCCGCCGAGUCCGCCGCGGGCACCCCCUGCUCCAGCACCAGCCGUACCCGGACCGAUAGGGUAUCGUCCACCCCAGGUGACGCCGUCGAACAUCAGGGGAAGCCCCGCGACACCACCACCACCCCCGCCGCCUCCCAUUCAGUAUCGUCCAACACCGAAGCCCACGAAAGCUCCUAGGAAGCAGAUCGACGAUGUCACGUUCAGACAACCGAUCAAGCCGCCGCCCAAGCCGGUGAAACCAUCCCAGGCUUACGAGAUUCGUGGGAAGAAGCCGGUGGCGCAGAUCAUCAGGCGAUACCGGCACGACAACCCGGACGGCUCCAUAACAUGGGGCUUCGAGAACGACGACGGGUCGUACAAGGAGGAGACGAUCGGCGUGGACUGCAUAACAAGCGGCAAAUACGGAUACAUCGAUCCGGACGGACUCCGACGCGAGUACACGUACGAGACCGGGAUCAGGUGCGACGAGGAGCAACGGGAGGAGGACGAGGACGGCUUCGUGGAUUACCAGGAGAACAAGCUGGUGCUUCCAGACGGGAAGACCAUCGAUCUCUCAUCGAUGGGCAAGAAACAGGCGCGCCGGCCCCAGUUUCAGUACAGAAAUUAAGGGAGAUCGUUAAUUUGCAUCUCACGCCAUCGCUCGCGUCGCAUUCAGCGCGUACUAUCAUUUAUGCGACGUUAUUCGUUUCUUUUUUUUCUUUCUAAGAUAAACUAGAUGUAACGAAUAAGUUAAGAGUAAAUAUAGCGAUACUGGUAAUGUAAAAUUAUGCAUUUGUAAAUUAGUUUAAUAAAUAAGUUAUAAUAAACUUCUUUAGGGAUAUCCGUAACGCCGUCAGCGUAAAAUAAAAUUCAAAAUGAUGAUAUCAAAUUCUUAUUUUGCAUUUGACACAACAACUUUCUUGAUUUAUUUGAUAUUAAAACGCGAAUAAUUAAGCCACGUGCGCAUAUAUAAUAUAUACAAAGUUGUAUGAAAUAUUAGAAUAUGAUGUAAAGAAUCAAUAUUUUAUAACUUUUAAAGCGCAAAGCUCAAAAUUGUGUAAUUCGCCAAUUAAUGGUAUCGCAAAUAACGAUUCGCUGUCGUAACGGAUUUUGUCGUUGCUGUCUGUUUUAACGCUUCAGAAAUUUACCAUUGGCUUACCAUUAAGUUGUAUUAUUCGAAAAUAAAAACCUUUCUUCUUUACCAUUAAA